UACAGAGGGUGCAAGCGUUGUUCGGAAUUAUUGGGCGUAAAGCGCGUGUAGGCGGCUUGGCAAGUCGGGUGUGAAAGCCCUCAGCUCAACUGAGGAAGUGCGCCCGAAACUGCUUUGCUCGAGUGUCGGAGAGGAUGGCGGAAUUCCCCAAGUAGAGGUGAAAUUCGUAGAUAUGGGGAGGAACACCGGUGGCGAAGGCGGCCAUCUGGACGAUAACUGACGCUGAGACGCGAAAGCGUGGGUAGCAAACAGG
rnacentral:rRNA from 1 species